UCUCUUUUUUUUUCUUAUUAUAAAAGCUGCAAAACACCUCCUAAUUUACCGUCCAUAUACAACGGAAGCAGGACUUCGCUGCUGACCAUAUGACGACCUCGGCGAUAAGACUGCAAUCCCUUCUCUCAACCUUGUUGCUAGUGUUCCUGCUUCUCACCGGCAGCAACCUCCUCCUUUCAAGAUCAGCUUCUACGCACCGACCAAGCCCUUGUACCUUGGACCCCACCAAUCCAUCUCCCAUCUGUCCUGGUCAAGCUCCUUCCCCGUAUUGUCCCCAACCGCCAUGUCACAACAUGAAUCACGCGCCAGCCACGGAGCAACAGGGUGCACAUUUGCCUUAAGUAGCAGAUGGUAAAGGGAGCGAGGUGAAAAACGUAUAUAUAUUCAGGGAAAAUUUCAAACCACCCCAAAAGUCAUUUAACGUUUGAUGUUUCACCCUAUAAGUAAUUUUGUUGGAAAAGCCUCCCACCACCCAGUUUUGUUGCAACAAUCUUUCAAUACAAACGUGAUUAAUCAAAUCAGCCCGUUAUCACUGAUAUUGUGCCACCAUAUGCUAAACUAGCCGAGUUAAUCUUGUCUAGGUGCUUAUAUUAGACCACUCUUUAUGUUUCACUGUAUUGAUUUUGUUAAUAGCUAAACUCAGUGCAAUAACGUUUAAGAUCUGAUCCGCAAUUAUGUUUGUGGGAAUCUUUAAAACUUUUUAAUUUUGACAGCUCCUUGUUUAUGAAAACAUGUUGAUUUGGUCAAACACGUACGUACUGGGAUGGUUUUCUGGACACAACAGUAGGAUUUUAGGAGGGUAGAAAUUUAUAGCAACAUAAUUUAUGGGAUGGAAUAUCAAAUUUCAAGUGUUUUAUACUGUGGUUUUUGUAAAUUUCCGUAUAUUUUAGUUCGUGUCAUCUUUUAACUCGUCCCACAUCUGUGAUCGUCUAGAACUAUAGUAUGUAGUAGUAUGUAAUAACUUAUGAUGUAUUCCUACUAAGGAAAUAAUAUUUCCAUUGCCUGCCUGCUAAUGCUUUUCAAAUAAUCAAUAUAUCUAUCUAUCUAUCUAUCUAUCUAUCUAUUAUAUACAUACUAAAAGUCCAUUAAACUUCCUACAAACGCUCUCAAGCCGCCACGUGAAACUCCUACAAACGCUCCUAGGUCGCCAAGUGGCUCUAUCUAAUCUAACCGUCGAUUUUAACUUAAAUUGGUGGACCCAAUAUUUUAGACCAUUAGAUUAGAUUUUUACUUAAAUCGGUGGACCCGGUAUUUUAGACAAUUAGAUUAGAUGUAUUUUAUUUUAUUUUAAAGAAACUAAUUCCUUACUCUAUUACGUACGUAUAUGGGAGAAACACAACUGAAGUAACCAAUAAAGCCUACCUAUUGUUCGCGUCAAAAGAAAAAAAAGCUGCGCACAGAAUUACUAUAAAAUCAAUAAGAAAAAAAAACCAUACGUACUUAGCACCAUGGGAAAAAAUUGAUGAUAUUUAAAAUAGGAUUUUCUAUCAUUUAAAGAUAAAAUAUUUUACUCUAUAAAUUUACGUAAAUAUCACCGUUGAUUUUCAUUUAAAUUGGCGGACCCGAUCGAUGUUUUAGAACAUUAGAUUAGAUGUAUCCAUUAUGUAUACUUCCUAAAAAUGCUCCUAAUCCGCCAUAUGACAUCCUGCAAACGUUCCUAUGUUUCCAUGUGAUGCUCUAAUAAAUUAGUAAAAUUCUACUUUGUCUCUCUGUCCUUUAAAAAAAAGUUUUGUUUCGGUAUCAAAUUUUGCUCCAUAAAGAGUGUAAUUUUUGGUUACAAAGAAACUUUUUAAUGCUGCUUCGUCGAUUUCUACUUCAUUUAAGCACAAAACUAAUAACAGUAGCUCCUUCUCCGAUGCUUGUUUUCACCUCUCCUUAUUCUAUAUGAAGGGUACAAGUAAUUGUAAUUAUUUACCUUUUGUUUAACUUGUCUUUAACUAACUAAAAUAAUAUUUUUUUAGAAAUGAAGAGAGUAUUAAGAAAGAUAUUAAAACACUACUAUGAUUUCAUUAAUAUGGAGAAAAUAAGGUGGGAGAAAUAAGGAGGCAUCUGGUUCAAUGGCUAAAAACAACAAAGAAAAGGAUGUAAUAGCACUAUUGAAUUAGAUUUAGCGUAUCAUUAUAAAACUACACAAUCAAUUUUAGGGUCCAAUUCUUAAACUAAAACUACACUUUUAUAUGGACAGACGGAGUAGAAAAAAUAGAAAUUAAUUUUGAGUCCUCCGUAUAUAAGACGUGGGGAUGCGUGCCCAUGGGUGAAAUAGCUUCUCUCCCUCUAGGCCUUCGAAGCGCAGGGGAUGGUAGCUCCGGUCAAAUUAAUGUCGACAAGCCUACAAGAUUGCUCUAUGUCAUCCCGCCUGUCGCUGGUCAUCGUCCUGCUUGUUAUCGUCGGCAGCACGGCCAGCACCGUUCCUCCUGUUGCCAGUUCAAUGGAGAACUCUCCUUCCGGAUAUACUCUAUAAGUACAUACAAGAACUGAAAGUAAUAAAAAUUCAACCAGCAUUUGCUGACUUGUCAUGAGUCAGGGCCAAAGCCAAGUGGUGUCCAUCUGGCUCCAUCACGCUGUCCAUGGGCCAUUUCUUACAGGUCCGUGUUAAUUAUAUGUAUAACUGUUUAAAAAAAAUUAUAUGUAUAGCAAAAAUUGAUCUCGUGACAAGUUGUUGAUGAUUUUUUUGAUGGAUGGAUGGUUAUUAUUUUUAGUACAAAUUAAGGUGGCUUCAUCUCAUCUGUAGAAAAAUAUGCAAUGACACACAUUUGGCCAACUCCACUCAACAUAGUUUUGUUGCGACUACACUAAGGAAGUUGACAAAGUGAAUCAAAGAUAUAGCUUGACGUUACACCGAGAUGACCUGGUGAAGUAGGUUGCAAGCUGCACGGUAUCAUGCAUCUAGGGCUCGCAGAUCUCGAUCAUGGGUGAAGAUAAGACAUGGACAUCGAGACAGUUUCGCCUCUGUACGAGAACAUCACCGAAACAUAGAAGAAGUUUGAUACAAACCACUGAAUGAAAGAAGAUGCAGUUAUUUCAGCAAUUCAGCUGCCGCGCCUCCAAUCUCUGCUCAUCCAAAAUGUUAGUAGCAGAGAGUUUGCGAGAAAGCUGGUUAUGCACGGUCUUCUCCAUUACACGAAAUGCAGUCCUCGGUAACGUGCGAAUCGCACGCAUUGAGAGGCAGAAGAACCAUCCGGUCGUCGUGAUGGGGAUAUCUCCGUGCUACUGCAUUGCUUUUUUCUCUGCAAGCCCCGAAGCAAAGUUAAAAUCUCGAGCUACAUAUGUCGGACAAUCCUGUUGCCUCCCAAUCCAAAUUUUACUUUGGUUUUCGCUCUUGUUUGGAUGGAUCUUAAUGUCGACUCAUCACUCAUGCAUCGCUCA